GACGAACGCUGGCGGCGUGCUUAACACAUGCAAGUCGAACGGGCCCGCCCCUGUUUUUGGGGGUGGGUUGAGUGGCGAACGGGUGAGUAUCACGUGAGUAACCUGCCCCCUGCUCCUGGAUAACUGCUUGAAAGGGCGGCUAAUACGGGGUGUGCCGGCUGGUCCGCAUGGGCCUGGUCGGGAUAGUUUCAUCUUCGGGUGGUUCGGUGGGGGAUGGGCUCGCGGCCUAUCAGCUUGUUGGGGGGGUGAUGGCCCACCAAGGCGGUGACGGGUAGCCGGCCUGAGAGGGUGGGCGGCCGCACUGGGACUGAGCCACGGCCCAGACUCCUGCGGGCGGCAGCAGUGGGGGGUAUUGCACAAUGGGCGGAAGCCUGAUGCAGCGACGUCGCGUGAGGGAUGGAGGCCUUCGGGUUGUGAACCUCUUUCUCCGGUGGUGAAGGCCCUGUCCGUUGCGGCGGGGUUGACGGUAGCCGGGUAUGAAGCGCCGGCUAACUACGUG
rnacentral:rRNA from 1 species